GUUCAACCCCUUCCCUUACUA
rnacentral:tRNA from 1 species